rnacentral:lncRNA from 1 species
AAGAAGGCACUUUAGGUUACAUAUGGUGAUUCGGUGCCCCUAAUGGAUCCUAUAUGCGCUCUCCAUAGGUAAACAAGUGUGUAGAAGAAAGAGUUCCAGGCACACAAAGGUUGGCUGCGCUUGAAGACCCC